rnacentral:rRNA from 1 species
UACGUAGGGUGCGAGCGUUGUCCGGAAUUAUUGGGCGUAAAGAGCUUGUAGGCGGUCUGUCGCGUCUGCUGUGAAAAUCCGGGGCUCAACCCCGGACUUGCAGUGGGUACGGGCAGACUAGAGUGUGGUAGGGGGAGACUGGAAUUCCUGGUGUAGCGGUGAAAUGCGCAGAUAUCAGGAGGAACACCGAUGGCGAAGGCAGGUCUCUGGGCCACUACUGACGCUCAGGCGCGAAAGCUAGGGGGAGCAAACAGG